rnacentral:tRNA from 1 species
GGGCGGUGUAGAACGUGGUCAGGUUCGCGGCGCUGCCGCCGCCGACCUGGACGGUGUUCAGCGCCCGGCGCCACGCG